rnacentral:misc_RNA from 1 species
AAAGGCUCAUUGAUUUUAGCUCGAGGAAGAAAACAUUCAAAUUUAUACGUGACACAAGGAUCGAUUCUUGGUGACUCUAUAAAUUUGGUGGAGAGCGAGACUUUAUCAGAAUUGUGGCACAAGAGGCUUAGUCAUAUGAGCGAGAGGGGGAUCACCUGUUUGGCUAAGAAGAAUUUGCUUGCUGGUAUGAAACAAGCAAAGGUGAAAAAAUGUGUCCCUUGCUUAGCAGGGAAAUAGAAAAGAGUUUCUUU